UACAGAGGUCUCAAGCGUUGUUCGGAUUCAUUGGGCGUAAAGGGUGCGUAGGCGGCGCGGUAAGUCGGGUGUGAAAUCUCGGAGCUUAACUCCGAAACUGCAUUCGAUACUGCCGUGCUUGAGGACUGGAGAGGAGACUGGAAUUUACGGUGUAGUGGUGAAAUGCGUAGAUAUCGGGAGGAACACCAGUGGCGAAGGCGGCUCUCUGGGACGGUACUGACGCUGAGACGCGAAAAGCGUGGGGAGCGAACAGG
rnacentral:rRNA from 1 species